rnacentral:lncRNA from 1 species
CUGGACACGAAAGGAUAGCGGAGCUGGACCUCCGGUUCCCCAACCCCUUGGGUCGGCCUCUCGCUAGGACUGCUCGCUGAGCUCCCCGCGGCCGUACGGGUACCACCACAGCCUCUACGACAGCCCAGCAGGGCUACGCCCCCUGCCGAUGGCCGGUCAGCGGUGACUGUUCAGAAUUGCGCUCAGACCUGUCCACCAGGCCCCUGGCUGGCGCUUCCCCAGCUUGGCCUAGCAAGGUACAUGGUAUAAACUGAGGCCCACGGGAGCCAGGCCAGCGCUAGACCUACAGAAGG